rnacentral:rRNA from 1 species
UACGUAGGGUGCAAGCGUUGUCCGGAUUUAUUGGGCGUAAAGAGCUCGUAGGCGGUUCGAUCAGUCGGAUGUGAAACCCCCAGGCUCAACCUGGGGCCACCAUCCGAUACUGUCGUGACUGGAGUCCGGUAGGGGACCAUGGAAUUCCCGGUGUAGCGGUGAAAUGCGUAGAGAUCGGGAGGAACACCAGCGGCGAAGGCGGCGACCUGGACGAGCACUGACACUCAACAACGAAAGCGUGGGGAGCAAACAGG